GUGGAUUAGAUACCCUGGUAGUCCACGCCGUAAACGAUGGAGGCUAGCCGUUGGCGAGCAUGCUCGUCAGUGGCGCAGCUAACGCAUUAAGCCUCCCGCCUGGGGAGUACGGUCGCAAGAUUAAAACUCAAAGGAAUUGACGGGGGCCCGCACAAGCGGUGGAGCAUGUGGUUCAAUUCGAAGCAACGCGCAGAACCUUACCAGCCCUUGACAUCCCGGUCGCGGGAACGAGAGAUCGAUCCCUUCAGUUCGGCUGGACCGGAGACAGGUGCUGCACGGCCGUCGACAACU
rnacentral:rRNA from 1 species